rnacentral:sRNA from 1 species
GUCUUACAAGGUAGGUCACAGCCACUGAGGUUUCUUCUCUUGCUACGGAGGUGCAGGCGGUGGCGGGCAGGACGUCCACACAUACCUCUGGACAGUGAACCUGAGAAUGCUGGGUCUCCAGUCGCAUGGAGUCUCCAGGACAGCCUGGAACUCCAGUCACAUGGGUCCGGGAGUUUGGACUGGGCAGGGACAGGGCAGAUUAGCUCACUGGGGAGGAGACAGGAGUGAGCAUGGUGGCCAGCACUCAGAGGCCAGCUCAGGCGCCUGAGAUGGGGACCCAGGAAGAGAGGAGCCUGUCAGCCACCAGGAAUGUGCAGAUGGCGGUGCAGGCUGCGUGGUUCCCUCAGGCCCCGGCCGCCGCUGGCCCGCACUGCUUCCUCUUCCCCCUGCAGCGCGUGUUCUGCAUGGUGAGGUCUGGGGACACGCCAGCAGCCCUGCCAGCCCCUUUCCCCACUACCCCUGUGAGGACGAGCCCUCCCGCCGUGUCACUGGGCAGCUGCAGGGGGUGCCUGUGCCCCUCCUGCCACCUGGCCACCCAGCUCCAAAAGCCGAGCUGUGCAUCCUGCUUCCCUUGCAGGGAUCCCCAGCAGCAAGACGGGCCUUUGUCCCCCAGCUCCGGAGUGGGAAGUUCAACGUCUUGCUGACGACGUACGAGUACAUCAUCAAAGACAAGCACAUCCUCGCCAAGAUCCGUUGGAAGUACAUGAUUGUGGACGAAGGUCACCGCAUGAAGAACCACCACUGCAAGCUGACGCAGGUGCUCAACACGCACUAUGUGGCACCCCGCCGCCUGCUGCUGACGGGCACACCGCUGCAGAACAAGCUUCCCGAGCUCUGGGCGCUGCUCAACUUCCUGCUGCCCACCAUCUUCAAGAGCUGCAGCACCUUCGAGCAGUGGUUUAACGCACCCUUUGCCAUGACCGGGGAAAAGGUGGACCUGAAUGAGGAGGAAACCAUUCUCAUCAUCCGGCGUCUCCACAAAGUGCUGCGGCCCUUCUUGCUCCGACGACUCAAGAAGGAAGUCGAGGCCCAGUUGCCCGAAAAGGUGGAGUACGUCAUCAAGUGCGACAUGUCGGCGCUGCAGCGAGUGCUCUACCGCCACAUGCAGGCCAAGGGCGUGCUGCUGACUGAUGGCUCCGAGAAGGACAAGAAGGGCAAAGGCGGCACCAAGACCCUGAUGAACACCAUCAUGCAGCUGCGGAAGAUCUGCAACCACCCCUACAUGUUCCAGCACAUCGAGGAGUCCUUUUCUGAGCACUUGGGGUUCACUGGCGGCAUUGUCCAAGGGCUGGACCUGUACCGAGCCUCGGGUAAAUUUGAGCUUCUUGAUAGAAUUCUUCCCAAACUCCGAGCAACCAACCACAAAGUGCUGCUGUUCUGCCAAAUGACCUCCCUCAUGACCAUCAUGGAAGAUUACUUUGCGUAUCGCGGCUUUAAAUACCUCAGGCUUGAUGGAACCACGAAGGCGGAGGACCGGGGCAUGCUGCUGAAAACCUUCAACGAGCCCGGCUCCGAGUACUUCAUCUUCCUGCUCAGCACCCGGGCUGGGGGGCUCGGCCUGAACCUCCAGUCUGCAGACACUGUGAUCAUUUUCGACAGCGACUGGAAUCCUCACCAGGACCUGCAAGCGCAGGACCGAGCCCACCGCAUCGGGCAGCAGAACGAGGUGCGUGUGCUCCGCCUCUGCACCGUCAACAGCGUGGAGGAGAAGAUCCUAGCUGCAGCCAAGUACAAGCUCAACGUGGACCAGAAGGUGAUCCAGGCCGGCAUGUUCGACCAGAAGUCCUCCAGCCACGAGCGGCGCGCCUUCCUGCAGGCCAUCCUGGAGCACGAGGAGCAGGACGAGGAGGAAGACGAGGUGCCCGACGACGAGACCGUCAACCAGAUGAUCGCCCGGCACGAGGAGGAGUUUGAUCUGUUCAUGCGCAUGGACCUGGACCGCAGGCGUGAGGAGGCCCGCAACCCCAAGCGCAAGCCGCGCCUCAUGGAGGAGGACGAGCUCCCCUCGUGGAUCAUCAAGGACGACGCGGAGGUGGAGCGGCUGACCUGUGAGGAGGAGGAGGAGAAGAUGUUCGGCCGUGGCUCCCGCCACCGCAAGGAGGUGGACUACAGCGACUCACUGACGGAGAAGCAGUGGCUCAAGGCCAUCGAGGAGGGCACGCUGGAGGAGAUCGAAGAGGAGGUCCGGCAGAAGAAAUCAUCACGGAAGCGCAAGCGAGACAGCGACGCCGGCUCCUCCACCCCGACCACCAGCACCCGCAGCCGCGACAAGGACGACGAGAGCAAGAAGCAGAAGAAGCGCGGGCGGCCGCCUGCCGAGAAACUCUCCCCUAACCCACCCAACCUCACCAAGAAGAUGAAGAAGAUUGUGGAUGCCGUGAUCAAGUACAAGGACAGCAGCAGUGGACGUCAGCUCAGCGAGGUCUUCAUCCAGCUGCCCUCACGAAAGGAGCUGCCCGAGUACUACGAGCUCAUCCGCAAGCCCGUGGACUUCAAGAAGAUAAAGGAGCGCAUUCGCAACCACAAGUACCGCAGCCUCAACGACCUAGAGAAGGACGUCAUGCUCCUGUGCCAGAACGCACAGACCUUCAACCUGGAGGGCUCCCUGAUCUAUGAAGACUCCAUCGUCUUGCAGUCGGUCUUCACCAGCGUGCGGCAGAAAAUCGAGAAGGAGGAUGACAGUGAAGGCGAGGAGAGUGAGGAGGAGGAAGAGGGCGAGGAGGAAGGCUCCGAAUCCGAAUCUCGGUCCGUCAAAGUGAAGAUCAAGCUUGGCCGGAAGGAGAAGGCACAGGACCGGCUGAAGGGCGGCCGGCGGCGGCCGAGCCGAGGGUCCCGAGCCAAGCCGGUCGUGAGUGAUGACGACAGUGAGGAGGAACAAGAGGAGGACCGCUCAGGAAGUGGCAGCGAAGAAGACUGAGCCCCGACAUUCCAGUCUCGACCCCGAGCCCCUCGUUCCAGAGCCGAGACGGCAUAGGCCUUAGCAGUAACGGGUAGCAGCAGACGUAGUUUCAGACUUGGAGUAAAACUGUAUAAACAAAAGAAUCUUCCAUAUUUAUACAGCAGAGAAGCUGUAGGACUGUUUGUGACUGGCCCUGUCCUGGCAUCAGUAGCAUCUGUAACAGCAUUAACUGUCUUAAAGAGAGAGAGAGAGAAUUCCGAAUUGGGGAACACACGAUACCUGUUUUUCUUUUCCGUUGCUGGCAGUACUGUUGCGCCGCAGUUUGGAGUCACUGUAGUUAAGUGUGGAUGCAUGUGCGUCACCGUCCACUCCUCGUACUGUAUUUUAUUGGACAGGUCAGACUCGCCGGGGGCCCGGCGAGGGUAUGUCAGUGUCACUGGAUGUCAAACAGUAAUAAAUUAAACCAACAACAAAAUGC